rnacentral:rRNA from 1 species
GUGGGGAAUAUUGGACAAUGGGGGAAACCCUGAUCCAGCCAUGCCGCGUGUGUGAAGAAGGCCUUAGGGUUGUAAAGCACUUUCAGUGGGGAGGAAGGCUUCAGAUUAAUACUCUGGAGUACUUGACGUUACCCACAGAAGAAGCACCGGCUAAUUUCGUGCCAGCAGCCGCGGUAAUACGAAAGGUGCGAGCGUUAAUCGGAAUUACUGGGCGUAAAGCGCGCGUAGGAGGUUUGUUAAGUCUGAUGUGAAAGCCCCGGGCUCAACCUGGGAAUUGCAUCGGAUACUGGCAAGCUAGAUUGCGGGAUAUGCGGGUGGAAUUCCAGGUGUAGCGGUGAAAUGCGUAUAUAUCUGGAGGAACACCAGUGGCGAAGGCGGCCCCCUGGACUGACAUUGACGCUGAGGUGCGAAAGCGUGGUGAUCAAACAGGUUUAGAAGCCCGGGUAGUCC